AACAAGGCGUACCUGCGGACCUGCGGAGGGAUCAUUACCGAGUUUACAACUCCCAAACCCCUGUGAACAUACCUAUACGUUGCCUCGGCGGAUCAGCCCGCGCCCUGUAAAAAGGGACGGCCCGCCCGAGGACCCUAAACUCUGUUUUUAGUGGAACUUCUGAGUAAAACAAACAAAUAAAUCAAAACUUUCAACAAUGGAUCU
rnacentral:misc_RNA from 1 species